rnacentral:rRNA from 1 species
CCAAGGGGUUCCACCCCCAAAAGGGGACGUUAUCCCCCAAAACCGGUUCGUAUUUCGAAUUGGGGGUUGAACCUCCCCCAAAGAAAGCGGGUUUCGGUAUUAUUCGCUUUCAAAGAGAGGGGGGGAAUUCCUUCCCUGCUCUUUG